GGGUGAAUGGUCAGGGUUAAGGAUCGGGGUGAAUGGUCAGGCUUGAGGAUCAGGGUGAAUGGUCAGGGGUUGAGGAUCAGGGUGAAUGGUCAGGGUUAGAGGAUCAGGGUGAAUGGUCAGGGUUGAGAAUAAGGGUAAAUGGUCAGGGUUGAGGAUCAGGGUUGAGG